UCCUAGUUUCCUAGGCAGUUCCAUCAAAGUGCUCCGACUAGCGGAUUGCAACUGACAGUAGGGGUUGCGCUCGUUAAAGGACUUAACCCAACAUCUCACGACACGAGCUGACGACAGCCAUGCAGCACCUGUGCAUACGUUUGAGUAAACCCAAAAGAUCGUGUUUCCACGACUGGCAUAUGCAUGUCAAGUCCAGGUAAGGUUCCUCGCGUAGUGUCGAAUUAAACCACAUGUUCCACCGCUUGUGCGGAUCCCCGUCAAUUCCUUUAAGUUUUAAUCUUGCGAUCGUACUCCCCAGGCGAAUCACUUAACGCGUUAGCUUUGAUACCAAUCUGGCUAAGCCAAACUGACAUCUAGUGAUCAUCGUUUACGGCGUGGACUAC
rnacentral:misc_RNA from 1 species